GAUGAACGCUGGCGGCGUGCCUAAUACAUGCAAGUCGAGCGAACAGACGAGGAGCUUGCUCCUCUGACGUUAGCGGCGGACGGGUGAGUAACACGUGGAUAACCUACCUAUAAGACUGGGAUAACUUCGGGAAACCGGAGCUAAUACCGGAUAAUAUAUUGAACCGCAUGGUUCAAUAGUGAAAGACGGUUUUGCUGUCACUUAUAGAUGGAUCCGCGCCGCAUUAGCUAGUUGGUAAGGUAACGGCUUACCAAGGCAACGAUGCGUAGCCGACCUGAGAGGGUGAUCGGCCACACUGGAACUGGGACACGGUCCAGACUCCUACGGGAGGCAGCAGUAGGGAAUCUUCCGCAAUGGGCGAAAGCCUGACGGAGCAACGCCGCGUGAGUGAUGAAGGUCCUCGGAUCGUAAAACUCUGUUAUUAGGGAAGAACAAAUGUGGAAGUAACUAUGCACGUCUUGACGGUACCUAAUCAGAAAGCCACGGCUAACUACGUG
rnacentral:rRNA from 1 species